rnacentral:rRNA from 1 species
GACAGAGGUGGCCAGCGUUGCUCGGAAUCACUGGGCUUAAAGGGUGCAUCGGCGGUUCGGUCAGUAUCCUGUGAAAGCCCCCGGCUCAACCGGGGAACUGCAGGAUAAACUGCCCGACUUGAGGUACGUAGAGGUUACUGGAACUCUGGGUGGAGCGGUGAAAUGCGUAGAUAUCCAGGGGAACACCUAUGGCGAAGGCAGGUAACUGGGCGUAUUCUGCCGCUGAGGCACGAAAGCGUGGGGAGCAAACGGG